AGUGAACGCUGGCGGUAGGCCUAACACAUGCAAGUCGAACGGCAGCACAGUAAGAGCUUGCUCUUACGGGUGGCGAGUGGCGGACGGGUGAGGAAUACAUCGGAAUCUACUUUUUCGUGGGGGAUAACGUAGGGAAACUUACGCUAAUACCGCAUACGACCUACGGGUGAAAGCAGGGGAUCUUCGGACCUUUCGCGAUUGAAUGAGCCGAUGUCGGAUUAGCUAGUUGGCGGGGUAAAGGCCCACCAAGGCGACGAUCCGUAGCUGGUCUGAGAGGGUGAUCAGCCACACUGGAACUGAGACACGGUCCAGACUCCUACGGGAGGCAGCAGUGGGGAAUAUUGGACAAUGGGCGCAAGCCUGAUCCAGCCAUACCGCGUGGGUGAAGAAGGCCUUCGGGUUGUAAAGCCCUUUUGUUGGGAAAGAAAAGCAGCAGGUUAAUACCCCGCUGUUCUGACGGUACCCAAAGAAUAAGCACCGGCUAACUUCGUG
rnacentral:rRNA from 1 species